UCGGAUAAAUCACCGUGUUUGGUCAAUGAGGCAGAGAAGAUUAGUAUGACAUCUGUGCAAGGAUGGCAUCCAUAAAUUAAGAAAUCUUCUAAAAUUUU